rnacentral:rRNA from 1 species
UACAGAGGAGCCAAGCGUUGUCCGGAUUGACUGGGCGUAAAGCGCACGCAGGCGGAUGCGCGCGUGGGGUGUGAAAUCUGGCCGCUUAACGGCCAGGCGCCAUCCCAUACGGCGCGUCUGGAGUGAUGCAGAGGUCGGUGGAAUUGCCGGUGUAGCGGUGAAAUGCGUAGAUAUCGGGAGGAACACCUGUGGCGAAAGCGGCGCACUGGACCAUAACUGACGCUGAGGCGCGAAAGCUAGGGGAGCAAACAGG